UACAGAGACCUCAAGCGUUAUCCGGAAUUAUUGGGCGUAAAGAGCUCGUAGGCGGUUUGUCGCGUCGGCCGUGAAAACUUGGGGCUUAACCCCAAGCUUGCGGUCGAUACGGGCAGACUUGAGUUCGGCAGGGGAGACUGGAAUUCCUGGUGUAGCGGUGAAAUGCGCAGAUAUCAGGAGGAACACCGGUGGCGAAGGCGGGUCUCUGGGCCGACACUGACGCUGAGGAGCGAAAGCGUGGGGAGCGAACAGG
rnacentral:rRNA from 1 species